GAUGAACGCUGGCGGCGUGCCUAAUACAUGCAAGUCGAGCGAACGGACGAGAAGCUUGCUUCUCUGAUGUUAGCGGCGGACGGGUGAGUAACACGUGGAUAACCUACCUAUAAGACUGGGAUAACUUCGGGAAACCGGAGCUAAUACCGGAUAAUAUUUUGAACCGCAUGGUUCAAAAGUGAAAGACGGUCUUGCUGUCACUUAUAGAUGGAUCCGCGCUGCAUUAGCUAGUUGGUAAGGUAACGGCUUACCAAGGCAACGAUGCAUGGCCGACCUGAGAGGGUGAUCGGCCACACUGGAACUGAGACACGGUCCAGACUCCUACGGGAGGCAGCAGUAGGGAAUCUUCCGCAAUGGGCGAAAGCCUGACGGAGCAACGCCGCGUGAGUGAUGAAGGUCUUCGGAUCGUAAAACUCUGUUAUUAGGGAAGAACAUAUGUGUAAGUAACUGUGCACAUCUUGACGGUACCUAAUCAGAAAGCAACGGCUAACUACGUG
rnacentral:rRNA from 1 species